CUUCAUUUGGCAUGGGCAUCCAUUAAAUCAGUUUCAGACCAACUCCACACUGAGUGCAGAGCCCAACACAGGGCUUGAUCUCAAGACCCUGAGAUCACAACCUGAGCCGAGACCAGAGUCAGAUGCCCAACCUGACAACUCCACCAGGAGAUGUGGGGGCCUGCAGCUCACAUUUGAAGGCUAGUCAAUGAGAAUUCAUGGUGAGAUCAGCCUGCAGCCGUGGUCAAAAUUAUAAUCUGGAGCUCCUUAUUACUCGCCAUGACCACCUGGUUAACCUGCGUCUCACAUUCAAAGUUUAUGGACCUUCCAGCAUGGUCAUCCAAUCUUCUGCUCCCAUUGAAACAGCCAAACAAACCUCAGCACCAGUUCUUCUGGAAUGUCAUGGAACUGAAGUGUGCGAUGCCUGGAUCUACAAAGCUACUGAGAGCAAAGGCAGCAGGAAGGUUCCACUUGGAUGCAGUAACCUGGCAAGACAGGGCUCAAGUCUACCGCUCACUGGCUGAGUGUCUUUGGAGGUGCCAUCACUUCAUAAGGGUCUAAUCCUCUAAGCCCCGGGGAAAGAGUAAAACAAUAUGGGACAGCCCUGAAUCCGUACCAUCCCAUUGCCAGUUAUGUGACUCAGGAUGAAUCUCAGAAAACUUCUCCUCCAGGAAGCUUCCUUACCCCAGACUGAUUUGAGUGCUCUCCUCCUGGCCCCAAUGCCCGCCAUACAAAAACACUUACAGCAAUGUGAAUGUUCUAAAUACUACUUAACUGUGCACUUUAAAAAUGGGCCUUCCUAUUUGCUGAGACACAACAAUAUUGAAAUUAGACCAAUUGACAACUCUAUACGGGCCUCUAAGUGUUCAAGUGAAAGGAAGAGUCUCAUAUUUUUCACUUUAAAUCGAAAGCUAGAAAUGAUUAAGCUUAGUGAGGAAGGCAUGUUGAAAGCAAAGAUAGGCUAAAAGCUAGGUCUCUUGCACCAAACAAUUAGUCAACUUGUGAAUGCAAGGGAAAUAUUCUUUAAGAAAAUUAAAAGUGUUACCCUGGUGAACAUAUAAAUGAUAAGAAAGUGAAACAGUCUUAUUGCUGAUAUGGAGAAAGUCUGAGUGGUCUAGUAGAAGAUCAAACCGCCAUAACAUUCCUUCAAGCCAAAGGCUGAUCCAGAGCAAGGCCCUAACUCUCUUCAAUUCCAUGAAGGUGAGGAAGCUGCAAGAGAAGGCUCUGAAGCUAGCAGAAGUUGCUCAUGAGGUUUAUGGAAAGAAGCCACCUCCAUAACAUAAAAGUACAAGGUGAAACAGCAAGUGCUAAUGUAGAAGCUGCAGCAAGUUAUCCAGAAGAUCUAGCUCAGAGAAUUAAUGAAGGUAGAAACACUAAACAAUAGAUUUUCAAUGUAGAUGUACAAUAUACCUGGGUCACCCGAGAGCUAUGAUGGAGAUAGACAACCAAAUGAAUGUUAUCUGUCUGCUAACAGAGCAUCCAUUCUGUAGCGCAUGGAUCCAGGAGUAAUUCUGACCUUAAAUCUUAUUAUUUAAGUUUUAUUAUUUAAGAAACACAGUUUGCAAGACUCUAAUUGCCGUAGAUAGAUACUCUAUCCAUCUGGUGGAUUUAGGCAAAGUAAAUUGAAAAUCUUCUGGAAAGGAUUCUCUACUCCAGAUGCCCUUCAGAACAUUUGUGAUUCAUGGGAAGAGAUCAAAAUAUCAACAUUAACAAGAGCUUGGAAGAACUUGAUCAACCAUCAUGGAGGACUUUGAGAGGUUCAAGACUUUCAUGGGGAAAGUAACUACACAUGUGGUAAAAAUAGCAAGAGAGGCAGAAUUAGAAGUGAAGCCUGAAGAUGGGACUGACUUGCUGACUUGCUGAAAGCUGAGAUGGUGGUUAACAUUUUUUAGCAAUAAACUGCUUUUAUUUAUUUUUUA